rnacentral:rRNA from 1 species
GACGAACGCUGGCGGCGUGCUUAACACAUGCAAGUCGAACGGAAAGGCCCUGCUUGCAGGGUACUCGAGUGGCGAACGGGUGAGUAACACGUGGGUGAUCUGCCCUGCACUUCGGGAUAAGCCUGGGAAACUGGGUCUAAUACCGGAUAGGAGCCAUUUUUAGUGUGAUGGUUGGAAAGUUUUUUCGGUGUAGGAUGAGCUCGCGGCCUAUCAGCUUGUUGGUGGGGUAAUGGCCUACCAAGGCGGCGACGGGUAGCCGGCCUGAGGGGGUGGACGGCCACAUUGGGACUGAGGUACGGCCCAGGCUCCUACGGGGGGCAGCAGUGGGGAAUAUUGCACAAUGGGCGCAAGCCUGAUGCAGCGACGCCGCGUGGGGGAUGACGGCCUUCGGGUUGUAAACUCCUUUCGCUAGGGACGAAGCUUUUUGUGACGGUACCUAGAUAAGAAGCACCGGCUAACUACGUG